CCUACGGGAGGCAGCAGUAGGGAAUCUUCCACAAUGGGCGAAAGCCUGAUGGAGCAACGCCGCGUGGGUGAAGAAGGUCUUCGGAUCGUAAAACCCUGUUGUUAGAGAAGAAAGUGCGUGAGAGUAACUGUUCACGUUUCGACGGUAUCUAACCCGAAAGCCACGGCUAACUACGUGCCAGCAGCGGCGGUAAUACGUAGGUGGCAAGCGUUAUCCGGAUUUAUUGGGCGUAAAGGGAACGCAGGCGGUCUUUUAAGUCUGAUGUGAAAGCCUUCGGCUUAACCGGAGUAGUGCAUUGGAAACUGGGAGACUGGAGUGCAGAAGAGGAGAGUGGAACUCCAUGUGUAGCGGUGAAAUGCGUAGAUAUAUGGAAGAACACCAGUGGCGAAAGCGGCUCUCUGGUCUGUAACUGACGCUGAGGUUCGAAAGCGUGGGUAGCAAACAGGAUUAGAUACCCGUGUAGUC
rnacentral:rRNA from 1 species